rnacentral:lncRNA from 1 species
GGAAAUGCUUCAGUCCCUAACUCACCUUUGUCACUCUCCUCUGGACUCCUUCUCAGAGACCCCUGUCUUUUUGAACUGGGGAGCCCAGAACGGGACACAGUAUCCUAAAUGUGGCCUCAUCAGGACAGAGUAGAGGGGAAGGAUCACCUAACUUGAUGUGCUGGCCAUGCUCUUUUUAAUGCACCCCAAAAUACCAUUGGCCUUCUUGGCUACAAGGAAACAUUGCUGGUUCAUGGCCAAUCUAUUGUCCACCAAAACACCCAGGUCCUUCUCCGCAGAGCUCAAUAACUAAGAGCAACAACUAAGAGCACCUAGAAAACUGUUUUAUUUCACUAUGAAGAAUGCUGACUCUUGAGAAUUAUUCCUCCUGAGGACCUGCAUCAUCCGUAGGACAUAAUGGUCCUGACAGCUGCACUGUUGAUGGACACACUGCUGUGCCCAUCCCGCUCCACUCUACUGGCCUGAUCCAGGUCCAGCUGGGAGGCCACUGCCUGCUGCCUUGGGGGACAAUCAUCUAAUUGAGGGUCACCUGAGAUCCAGGAUAGGAUGCAAUGCAGGAGUAAUCCAAGAUUAAACUCUAUGCACUCAGCAUCCACAAUGGAAGAGUCACCUGUGAAGAAGUCCAGAAAAGGGAAGGGAACCAACAGCAAUAGAAGAGGCAAUGCUGUGAUCACAGGCUAAAAUGAAAGAAGAAGCUUCUGAACCACCUUUUUUAAAAACUGACACACAAUGGAAAAUUUCAACAAGACUUUACACUUCAUCAAGGACAAUAGCCAAGAAAAGAAAAUUAUUUGCUGUACUCAUACAACAUACAGUUGCGGCAGACUCAGCUGUUGUCCUUUAUAUAGUUAGGAAUUAGCUUUCCAUUUGAAAUCAAUAACGUGUUGUAUGAGGUCAUUGCUUAUUAGUCUCUAGAAUGCUUUGUGACAGAGUAAUUCUGAUAGAUCAACUCACAAGACAGCUUCAUAGGUUUUAUUUGGUGAUAAUUAAUUUACUGAAAAGGGAAGAACUGAUGAAGUAUUGUGAACCAUAGCUUUUGACAAUUUUUUUCCAGUGGAUAUUUUUUACUCUUCUAUAAUAACUGUGUGACAUCCAUUUUUACUUAUGAUUAUAUGAUUUGCUGCUCUAAAAAAUACCUCUUUUUAGUGAUAAGUUGCAUCUUCUAUAAUUAAAAUGUAUUUUGAAAUUGCAUUCAUAAUUUUGAUGAGAUAGUAUUCUUAUGCUAACUCUGAAAAUAUCCCCAUGUUAGUGUGCAACUGCUAUGAAGUUCAUUUAUUCCACUAUCUGGAUAUGCAAUACAGCUUCAAAUGUUUCAUAUUAGAAUAGGAAGCAUUAGGGAUGAUAGCGUUAAAGACUGCAGCUUCAGAUAAUAUCUAUUCAAUUUCUUAGCAAUAUGAAGAAUAAACUUUAUGGGACAUCAAGGUAUCUGGUUCA